GUUGAUUAGAACAAUUCAAUAUAAGUUGAUUCACAUGGUGAAUGAUCUCUCUUCUUUCCUUUAGAUGUGUAUUUCACACACUACUCUUAUAACAAGACAAAACUUUAUCUCUAUAACUAAAAUGACCUUUUUAUUUUUUUAUAUUUAAUUAUCUGUAUACCCAUUUUAAUUUAUUUUAUUUUAUCUCUAUUUUUAAAUUGAAUUUAAAGAAAUUGUUAAAAGUUAAAAAUAUGUAUUUUGUAACUAUUUAAAAAGGCAUAGUAGUCG
rnacentral:lncRNA from 1 species